CACUUCUUUCCAGCCGUUCCUCGAAUUUACGAAACGUUUCUGCAAGCGGCGCGUGCACCGCCGCUCUCACCGCCCGCUUGGAAAACCACUGGUAUACUUUGUUUCCUUGUUGAGAAUCGCUUUGGUGUGUUACGUGUUUUCAUAGAAGCUGUAAUAUAAAAUGGAAGGUUUUUGUGGGAAAGAAUUGAAUUCGAAAGUGUAGAUUGUGUAACUAUUGCAUAUACUAUUGAAUUUUGUGUACUUUUCUACAAGUCGUGUUUCUAUGAAAUUAGAUAUGUCGGAAUUUGUGAGUUUCUGAGAUAAAAUACGGUUUUGGGAAUUGGAUUAUUUUCUGUAAAUUUUGAUAACGUGUAUGAUAUUUGAUCAAGUUCGGGUUUAGGUAAUCGAAUCUCGUUUCUCUGGAACGUUUCUAUCGAAAGUUUACAAUUUGCUUUCGAAUAAAGUCACUGCAGGUGUGACUCUAACACGAUGUUUGUAAUCUGUCUUAUCUACUGUAAUUUACUCUUCAAAUUUAAACAGCGUUUUCGAUAAUGGAAUCUGUUAUCCCUUCCAGCAUUUAAUUCCCAAACAUAUAUAUUUAAAAUUCAAUUCUUCCUUUAUCUUAAAUUUCUUUAUAAAGACAAUCUUAAUAUACCAACUAAUCACGUCAACAACUACAUCGACCUCGAAUUGCUUUAAAAUAAAUUCAUUUUUCUAUACAUACUCUACACUUAGAGCAGCAUGACGAAUCAGGAUUUAUUUACUAUAACCCUUUUUCUAAUCUCAAACUAUAUCGAACUUCCUGCAGCAACGUAAAAUGUAAUAUUCCUCCCAUUUAUCAUGCCAAACCCUGCUCUUUAUUCAAGCCUUCAUUCUAAUCACCUCUAUAAAAAUCUAUCUUUAUACUGGAACCAGCCAUCAAAGCGAUUCAGCGUAUUCAUUCGGUGCCCCCUCCCUGAAACGAAUCUACGUGUCGAAGAGGAUCUGCGACAAGAAGUCAAGACAACCCGAUUAUCCCAUGCACGCUUCUCGGCGUGUAGUCUCGGUGUCUCGGGGCCGGUGCUCGCGCAUGUGCCAACAGAGUGUACAUGCCGGUGGAGAGCGACAAACCCAUCCACUCGACCAAGUCAAAGUCUCUUCUCUUCCUCUAAUUUUUCUUCUUCCUUUUCCUCUUUGCAGUACCUCGAUCUUCUUUUCCGCCCUUCAUCCUCUUCUUCUUCCUCUUCUUCCUGUUGGUUCUCUGCAAUGUCCCAUGCCUUGGCGGCGAGUGGGCGUCGGACGGCAAUUAGCAUACUCGCGUGAUCAAAGCAGUGGGACACGUGCGACAAGAAUUAACGACCACCAGCAGAACGACUCUUUCUUCACGGAGUGCGCGCGCGAUAAAUCGCGCUUCCGAUGCCUUCGUCGACACCCGCCAUGCCGCCCACACGCGUGGCCCCUCCCGUCGUGGUUUGUCCACGAGCACGCGGCGCCCUCUGCCCACUGUUUUCUCAUCCAUUUUGCCAACGGACCCAACGAUCCGCCUUUGGCUUUCGGUGAUCGUUUCGCACAGGUUAUAUAUAGGCGGGCGCAUUCUUUAUCAGGCCAUUGCCGGAUGAAUUUAUACGGGAUAAUCCAGUGCUCGUUUCCGCUUCAACCACUUAUGAAUUAUGUCUUCUCAGAAAGUAAUACGUAUUUGGCUCUUUUUGGAGGUGUAUAGGUAGAUUAGAAGUGAAGGAUGUGUUUGAUAGCAGUAGAUAUAAGACAAGCAUGCCACUUCACACGAAGGUUCUAAGUGCCAUACAAAGAGAAAGAAACCAUCGUAGAAAGUAAUUCCCCUCGAGGAAAUUCGACUAUUGACCCCGAAACACUCGAGUGGCCUUUAGCCGGCAGGAAGUCUAACGGAAUCGCGAUCCCUAAAGCGAAUCGAACGGAAGGUACACAGGCGCAAGAUGGAUUCGCAGCAUGAUUUUAAUAUUGCCACUUAUCUCGAAUUCCUUGUUACACGGGAGUAGCAUUUUCUGCUAUCUCGAAUACAUACUUGUUUCGUUGGUUCGGGAUUCACGGUAAUCCUUAUGGUCUCCUCUGUAACCACCUACUCACGGAAAAGGAUGCCAUUGACAGAGUGUAUAGAGAGUGUAGAAGCGUGAUUUGCUGUACAGACACGCGUGGUUGCCCGUAAUCAGCUGCAACAUUGUAUGAUGAUCAGCCAACGGGUGUUUGUAUUGCGAUAGUUUCCGGGUCCUCCCUUUAUGAGUUCUAUUCUUUCACGAUUGAGGGCGCGACAGUUUUACUGUUCGUUUUUAUUGACAAAAUUUUCUUACUUGCUGAUAUAGACUAAUAAUUAAUAAAUUACGAUUUGAUUAUUGAAUUGUGUCAGAAGUGAAGUGAGAGUGAAGAAAGUGAAAUUCAUAGAAUUUUCAGGUUUAAUCAAACAUUGAUAGUAAAUUUUCAAUUUCAUUGUAAACUAUUCAUUAAGAAAUUAGAAGUCGAUUAGUAAAUAUGUCUAGGGUCUAAUGUGACGAAAGAAUAAGCGAAGUAGAAUUUCAAAGUCUAAUAAGAAAUCGAUGAUGAGUGUUAUUUUCAAUUUCAUCAAUUCAAUUAAAUCAUUUAUCAAACUCAUUGGUACGGACUCCUAUCUUAUUUACUGUCAAUUUUGUGGAAUAUAACCUCUAAUUUGUAAAAUUUGCAUAUAUUAUUUCAUUUGUUUUAUUACCAAACUUGCUAUUAUUAUGCAUUGUUAGUACCUUAUUAGUACUCUUACCUUGUAAAGUUUCAUUAAUAAUAUUAUCUCAGUUCUGCAAGAUGGCUCAGUUCAGCUAAAAUGAAUAAAAAGGAAAGGAAAUAAAAACACCAUA